GGUUAAUGGGUGAAAAUUGUGUUGGCAAAGUUCUGUUAUAAAAAGGACCAGUACCACAGCACGCCGGCCGCAAAGAUGACGAGGAACAAAAUCUCCAAAGGAUCGCAUCGGGUGAACAGAGGAUCAACUGCACUGCAGAAAACUAUGUUACGCGAAAAUUCAUCCAGUUUGCAUCCAUGUCAUCUUGAACGGAAAAAAAGGCAACAAGAGUAAACGUACAAGUGUAUCAAAAUGUUCUAAGACAUAACAAUGUUACAUUACUAUUUUAUAGUUUGCUAAAUAAAGUUGGUAACAUGCAAAUUUAA